GACGAACGCUGGCGGCGCGCUUAACACAUGCAAGUCGAGCGAGAACCUGGGCUUCGGCCCUGGGGACAGCGGCGAACGGGUGAGUAACACGUGGGUAAUCUGCCCUUGACAUCGGGAUAGCCCGGGGAAACCCGGAUUAAUACCGAAUAGCCUCCGGAGCCUUCGGGCGCCGGAGAAAAGGUAGCUUCGGCCUCUGGUCGCGGAUGAGCCCGCGGCGGAUUAGCUUGUUGGCGGGGUAACGGCCCACCAAGGCGCCGAUCCGUAGCGGGUCUGAGAGGACGAUCAGCCACACUGGGACUGAGACACGGCCCAGACUCCUACGGGAGGCAGCAGUGGGGAAUCUUGCGCCAAUGCGGGAAACCGUGACGCAGCGACGCCGCGUGGGGGAAGAAGGCCUUCGGGUUGUAAACCUCUUUCAGGAGGGACGAAGCCACUCGGGUGAAUAGCCCAGAGGGUGACGGUACCUCCAGAAGAAGCCCCGGCUAACUACGUGCCAGCAGCCGCAGUAA
rnacentral:rRNA from 1 species